GGAGUGGUACCCAAGUGGCUAUAAGGGGCUCCCUUGCUAAGGGAGUAGGCUGAGAAAUCGGUGCGAGGGUUCGAAUCCCUCUCACUCCGCCA
rnacentral:tRNA from 1 species